rfam:Galdieria sulphuraria unplaced genomic scaffold scaf_28, whole genome shotgun sequence.
GCUUCCCUAGCUCAAUAGGUUAGAGCAUCAGUCUUAUGAGCUGAAGGUUGUGAGUUCGACCCUCACGGGAAGCA